UAUUUUUAUAAGCAAGGAGUGUGACAUCUAUUUUUAGAGGAGAAAGAAUUUCGUUACAAAGAACUCUCCUAGUCCCCUCCCAGAGUGGAUGGGCUGAGGUGCGGGGGAGCAGUAGGCCCGGAGGACUCCCUGAAGAGGUGGCCUGGGGAUUCCUGGCAGAGGGAACGGCCUGUGCAAAGGCCUGGAGACACGCGACUGAAGCGCGCCUAACAAUGGCUACCAUGGAUUCGUGGGCAGGCGCCUGUACACUCAAUCCUCACGGCAGCUCCAGGACACUGGAGUUAGUGCUCCUGUCUCACAGGAAAGGAAACGUUGGCUCAGAAAGAUAAGGAAACCGAAGCACAGAGAGGCAGGUCAUCUGGCUGAGGUCACACAGCCACACGGCGAGAGAGCAGUGAAGCUGGAGUUCCAGCAAGCUCCACCUGGCGAGAAUUCAAGCCCUGCCAUGGGCCACCUCUCUGGAGGAAGAGAAAGCCAGCUUCAGACUCUGCCUCUCUCAAUCCUUAUACAAGGCCAGAGAGCGCUUGAGGCUUCCAGGCACUCCUAUGCUUACACACCUUCCAUGGCUCCCAGCUGCCCUCCAGAUAAAGAACAAUCUCCUCAGUGUGGCCCUUGAGGUCCUGUGAUCUGGCCUCUGUCCACCACCAGGGCCCCCCUCCUGGCCAGAUCUCUGAGCCUCGGCCAAGCUGACCUGCUUCUCUCAGGGCCUCAACAGGGCCGAUCUCCAUCCCUGCUGUUCCCUUGGUCCAGCAUGCUGUUCCCCUCUAGUUGCUUCUCCUUACCCUGGGGGCCUCCACUCAAAUGCCACCUCCUCCACUGGCCGGACGCUGCCAUUAACCUGCUCGAGUGCUCUCCCUGCAAAACUCAGCACAGGCUGGGCACAGUGGCUCAUGCCUGUAAUCCCAGCACUUUGGGAGGCCGAGGUAGGAUGACUGUUCGAGCCCAGGAGUUCAAAACCAGCCUGGGCAACAAAGUGAGAUCCUGUCUCUAUUUUUUAAAAAAUUAGCCGGGCGCAGUGGAGCACAACUGUAGUCCCAGCUACUCAGGAGCUUAAGGCUAGGGGGUAGCUUGAGCCCAGGAGUUCGAGGCUGCAGUGAGCUGUGAUCACAUCACUGCACUCCCACCUGGGUAACAGAGCAAGA
rnacentral:lncRNA from 1 species